rnacentral:misc_RNA from 1 species
AAUUGAGUUAUAAUCAUCUCCCCUCACAUUUGAAGCAAUGCUUUGCCUAUUGUGGAUUAUUUCCAAAAGAUUACAAAAUUAAUGUACAAACAUUGAUACAUGUUUGGAUGGCACAAGGAUAUAUCGUGUUAUCAGAUCCUUCCCAAUGCUUUGAAGAGAUUGGUCUUGCAUACUUUAUGGAUCUUCUUUCGAGGUCUUUUUUUCAAGAAGUUGAAAAUGACAGUUGGGGAAACAUAGAAUCUUGUAAAAUGCAUGAUUUGAUGC